rfam:Marine metagenome 1312889, whole genome shotgun sequence.
GAGAGAAGGUCUCUCGACUAAGAUGUACAGGCAUAUUAGUCAAACCGCCUUAUGGGGCUUAGUCUUCACGACUUGGUCUUGAGCGAUAGGGUCAAAGGCACUGCUACCGUUUGUAUGG